GCUGGGUGUGGUGGUGCACACCUGUAAUCCCAAAGGCUCAGGAGGCUGAGGCAAGAGGAGUGUGAGUUAAAAGCCAGCCUCAA
rnacentral:sRNA from 1 species